AUAAGGGAAGUAAGUAAAGGACGGUUGCUCAAUUUGUCAGGUCCGAAAGGAAGCAGCAGGGGUAAUUUGUUCUUGUAUUUACUUCCCUUUUUCU
rnacentral:SRP_RNA from 1 species